rnacentral:lncRNA from 1 species
UCAGGAAGCUUCUGAGGGCCAUCUAAUGGUUUUGACUUUUUAGGUAGAGAAACUCAAUGGGGAUGAGAAAUUAAAGGCAGCCAUUGUCAUGAGACUUAUCUAGAGUCAGCUUGUUUACUUCCUAUCAUACUUUUAUAUAGCCCAGAUGUAUGUCCUAGACUCUUCAGUGACACGGCAGGCCUGAAGGCUUUGUAAGGUGCACAUAAGGAAAUCCUGUUCACUUGCCAUUUCCUGCUAUAGAGGUCUGAUGACCAAAGG